rnacentral:rRNA from 1 species
AAAGAGUUCUAUAACUCCCAAACCCAUGUGAACAUACCUAACGUUGCCUCGGCAGGUCGCACCUACCUUGUAGCACCCUACCCUGUAGGGCCUACCCGGGAGGUGCGGGUAAGCCUGCCGGCGGCCCACCAAACUCUGUUUGAUAUUGAAUUCUGAACCUAUAACUAAAUAAGUUAAAACUUUCAACAACGGAUCUCUUGGUUCUGGCAUCGAUGAAGAACGCAGCGAAAUGCGAUAAGUAAUGUGAAUUGCAGAAUUCAGUGAAUCAUCGAAUCUUUGAACGCAUAUUGCGCCCAUUAGUAUUCUAGUGGGCAGGACCGUUCGAGCGUCAUUUCAACCCUUAAGCCUUCGUUGCUUAGUGUUGGGAGCCUACGGCAACGUAGCUCCUCAAAGUUAGUGGCGGAGUUGGUUCACACUCUAGACGUAGUAAUUUUUUAUCUCGCCUAUUAGUUGGACUAAUCCCCUGCCGUAAAACCCCCAAUUUAUCAAGGUUGACCUCGAAUCGGUUCAGACAAACUCGCUAAAUUGAAGCAUCUUAGUCAGCGAAGGAAAAGAAACCAACAGGGAUUGCCCUAGUAACGGCGAGUGAAGCGGCAACAGCUCAAAUUUGAAAUCUGGCCCU